rnacentral:rRNA from 1 species
UGGGGAAUCUUGGACAAUGGGGGCAACCCUGAUCCAGCCAUGCCGCGUGAGUGAUGAAGGCCUUAGGGUCGUAAAGCUCUUUCGCCUGUGAAGAUAAUGACGGUAGCAGGUAAAGAAACCCCGGCUAACUCCGUGCCAGCAGCCGCGGUAAUACGGAGGGGGUUAGCGUUGUUCGGAAUUACUGGGCGUAAAGCGCGCGUAGGCGGACCAGAAAGUUGGGGGUGAAAUCCCGGGGCUCAACCCCGGAACUGCCUCCAAAACUAUUGGUCUAGAGUUCGAGAGAGGUGAGUGGAAUUCCAAGUGUAGAGGUGAAAUUUCGUAGAUAUUUGGAGGAACACCAGUGGCGAAGGCGGCUCACUGGCUCGAUACUGACGCUGAGGUGCGAAAGUGUGGGGAGCAAACAGGAUUAGAUACCCUGGUAGUCCACACCGUAAACGAUGAAUGCCAGUCGUCGGGUAGCAUGCUAUUCGGUGACACACCUAACGGAUUAAGCAUUCCGCCUGGGGAGUACGGUCGCAG